GGCAGCAGUGGGGAAUAUUGCACAAUGGGGGAAACCCUGAUGCAGCGACGCCGCGUGAGCGAUGAAGUAUUUCGGUAUGUAAAGCUCUAUCAGCAGGGAAGAAAAUGACGGUACCUGACUAAGAAGCCCCGGCUAACUACGUGCCAGCAGCCGCGGUAAUACGUAGGGGGCAAGCGUUAUCCGGAUUUACUGGGUGUAAAGGGAGCGUAGACGGCGGUGCAAGCCAGAUGUGAAAGCCCGGGGCUCAACCCCGGGACUGCAUUUGGAACUGUGCUGCUAGAGUGUCGGAGAGGCAGGCGGAAUUCCUAGUGUAGCGGUGAAAUGCGUAGAUAUUAGGAGGAACACCAGUGGCGAAGGCGGCCUGCUGGACGAUGACUGACGUUGAGGCUCGAAAGCGUGGGGAGCAAACAGGAUUAGAUACCCUGGUAGUCCACGCCGUAAACGAUGACUACUAGGUGUCGGGCAGCAAAGCUGUUCG
rnacentral:rRNA from 1 species